UGGGGAAUUUUGGACAAUGGGGGAAACCCUGAUCCAGCCAUCCCGCGUGUGCGAUGAAGGCCUUCGGGUUGUAAAGCACUUUUGGCAGGAAAGAAACGUCAUGGGUUAAUACCCCGUGAAACUGACGGUACCUGCAGAAUAAGCACCGGCUAACUACGUGCCAGCAGCCGCGGUAAUACGUAGGGUGCAAGCGUUAAUCGGAAUUACUGGGCGUAAAGCGUGCGCAGGCGGUUCGGAAAGAAAGAUGUGAAAUCCCAUAGCUCAACUUUGGAACUGCAUUUUUAACUACCGGGCUAGAGUGUGUCAGAGGGAGGUGGAAUUCCGCGUGGAGCAGUGAAAUGCGUAGAUAUGAGGAAGAACACCGAUGGCGAAGGCAGCCUCCUGGGAUAACACUGACGCUCAUGCACGAAAGCGUGGGGAGCAAACAGG
rnacentral:rRNA from 1 species